GAGUUUGUCCUGGCUCAGAUUGAACGCUGGCGGUACGCCUAACACAUGCAAGUCGAACGGCAGCGGGGGAAGCUUGCUUCCUGGCGACGAGUGGCGGACGGGUGAGUAAUACUUAGGAAUCUGCCCAGUAGUGCGGGACAACCCGAGGAAACUCGAGCUAAUACCGCAUCGUCUCUACGGGGCAAAGCUGGGGAUCUUCGGACCUGGCGCUUUUAGAGGAGCCUAUGUUGGAUUAGCUUGUUGGUGGGGUAAAGGCCUACCAAGGCGACGAUCCAUAGCUGGUCUGAGAGGACGAUCAGCCACACUGGAACUGAGAUACGGUCCAGACUCCUACGGGAGGCAGCAGUGGGGAAUCUUGGACAAUGGGGGAAACCCUGAUCCAGCGAUACCGCGUGUGUGAAGAAGGCCUAUGGGUUGUAAAGCACUUUUAGUAGAGAAGAAAGGCACUUGGUAAAUAGCUAAGUGAUAUGACGUUACCUACAGAAAAAGCACCGGCUAACUCUGUGCCAGCAGCCGCGGUAAUACAGAGGGUGCUAGCGUUAAUCGGAAUGACUGGGCGUAAAGAGCACGUAGGCGGUAGGACAAGUUAGAUGUGAAAGACUUAGGCUCAACCUGAGAAUUGCAUUUGAUACUGUUUUACUAGAGUUCAGUAGAGGGAAGUGGAAUUUCCGGUGUAGCGGUGAAAUGCGUAGAUAUCGGAAGGAACACCAGUGGCGAAGGCGACUUCCUGGGCUGAAACUGACGCUGAGGUGCGAAAGCAUGGGGAGCGAACGGGAUUAGAUACCCCGGUAGUCCUGGCCCUAAACGAUGGGCACUAGGUGCGGGGGGAUACCCCCUCCGUGCCGUAGCUAACGCAUUAAGUGCCCCGCCUGGGGACUACGGCCGCAAGGUUAAAACUCAAAGGAAUUGACGGG
rnacentral:rRNA from 1 species